rnacentral:lncRNA from 1 species
AAGGAUGAUGAUUGAUCCGCCGUGCGCACGCCAGCGCGUUCCUCUGUGGCAGGAGAGGGGGGCCUGCGUGUGACCGAGCGUGCGUGGGAGGACGCGCGUGUGUGUCUGUGCGCCCUGAUCACGGUGGUCUGUGGGUGGGGCGGAUCGUGCGCGCGCGCCCGAUCUGUGCGCCCCAAGCCAGGUGGGUCUCCGAAUAGGAGUGGGUCCCAGCGUACACGGGUUUGCACCCAGGAAGGGGUCUGCUUGUGGGUGGGCGCGCCAGCUCUUCCCCAGGGGCCGUUUCUUGAGCGCCUCCCGUGGGGUCCUGGGCACCUCGGGGUGAUCAUGGCCGCUAGGCUUUGCCCUCACGGGCCUAGGCCCGCCUUCACCCACUAGAUGGAGUGUAUGGUGGUGAGAGCCCGCCGAGACAAUGUGAGGGGCUGCCAGGAGAAGGCGAAGAUUGGAAACCUAGAGGGGAGAAUGAAACAGCCCAGCAGAGUGGAGGGAAAAGUUUUCUUUCUUUUUCUUUUUCUUUUUUUUUUUUUUUGAGAUGGAGUUUCCCUCUUGUUGCCCAGGCUGAAGUGCACUGGCGCGAUCUCGGCUCACUGCAACCUCCGCCUCCCGGGUUCACUCCUGCCUCAGCCUCCCGAGUGGUUAGGAUUACAGGCAUGCACCACCAUGCCUGGCUAAUUUUGUAUUUUUAGUAGAGACGGGGUUUCUCUAUGUUGGUCAGUCUGAUCUCGAACUCCCGACCUCAGGUGAUCUGCCCGCCUCGGACUCCCAAAGCGUUGGAAUUACAGGCGUGAGCCACUUACUAGUCCCAGCCAGAAAGGUUUUCUGAGAAGAGGGCACUGCAUGUGCAAAGGCCCAGAGGUUGAAAGAGGGCCAGAGCCUGGUGAGGAACUUCCCAUGUCCUAAUGACCUUCUGUGUCUAUAUCCAGCAGCCUUGCCUUACUGGUACCAGUACCUGCCUGCUGCUACCAACUAGUCAACAUGUGGCAUCUUCCAGGCCACUGUGAUGAGUCAGGGAUGAGCAUCUGACUCUGGUUGGUCCAAUCAGCUUGUCCAGGGACUUUGGCUGGGAAGAUUGGAAAGGAGGCCAGCUUUUUGGGCUGGGGUUGCUGAGAGAUGUGAUGAUGAAAUGUGUGGCCUACCUGGCAUCUGGCCCCAGCUUCAGCUCCAUUUACUGUCUUGCUCCCCACCCUCACUAGCCUGCAUUGAGGCCUCCUCUGUGCCCCCCAACCCCUGAGUUUCUCAUCCCCAGAGAGCCCAGCUACACAGAAUUGAAGGGUUUUCUCAUUCAUCUUCCUGCGCUCACCCUGAAGACUGGGCCUAUGUCAUCUGCUAACCACUGUCCCCCCAGCACUCACAGUGGAAAAUGGAGUGUUAUGCAGCCCUGCAGCUUGCCUUCUAGAACAGUUCACAGGCAAGGCCUCCCACACUGAACCCUGCUACAGCCAGAUGGUGCCAGCAACACAGAGCUACUUGUUACAUCAGCUCAGACUAAGCCACACCCACAGGAGCAUCUGGUGAUUCCACAGAACCACAAGAGACUUGACCUCCUGGAAAUGAAUUAACCAAGAUUAAUGAAAAAGAUUAAGGUCAUGUGCCCUGUAAAAAUGUCCCUCACUGGAUGAACUGUGACAAAGUAGGGUACUGCGUGGUCUCCCCAGCUGACCCUCUCCAUGGGUCAUUCUUUGCUUUUAUCACUACCUGGCACAAAUCUUUACGUAUUUGUUUAUCGUCUUCCCUCCACCAGUAGUUAGGUGUUUGCCCUUGCUGUAUCCCCUGUGCCUAGAACAGUGCCCAACAUUGGCAGGUGGCCAAUAAUUGCAAAAUAAGCAAAUGUAUGAAUGAACCAUUAGAUGCUUUGUGUUGUAUACU